rnacentral:rRNA from 1 species
ACGCUGGCGGCACGCCUAACACAUGCAAGUCGAACGAAGUAGCAAUACUUAGUGGCAGACGGGUGAGUAACAUGUAGGUAUCUGCCCUUUGGCCUGGAAUAACACGAGGAAACUUGUGCUAAUACCGGAUAAGUCUUUACGGAGAAAGCUUUAUGCACCAUUGGAUGAGCCUGCACUUGAUUAGUUUGUUGGUGGGGUAAUGGCCUACCAAGACUGUGAUCAAUAGCUGAUUUGAGAGGAUGAUCAGCCACAUUGGGACUGAGACACGGCCCAAACUCCUACGGGAGGCAGCAGUGGGGAAUCUUGCACAAUGGAGGAAACUCUGAUGCAGCGAUGCCGCGUGAGUGAAGAAGGCCCUUGGGUUGUAAAGCUCUUUCGUCGGGGAAGAAAAUGACUGUACCCGAAUAAGAAGGUCCGGCUAACUUCGUGCCAGCAGCCGCGGUAAUACGAAGGGACCUAGCGUAGUUCGGAAUUACUGGGCUUAAAGAGUUCGUAGGUUGUUAAAAUAGUUGGUGGUGAAAUCCCAGAGCUUAACUCUGGAACUGCCAUCAAAACUUUUUAGCUAGAGUAUGAUAGAGGAAAGCAGAAUUUCUAGUGUAGAGGUGAAAUUCGUAGAUAUUAGAAAGAAUACCAAUUGCGAAGGCAGCUUUCUGGAUCAUUACUGACACUGAGGAACGAAAGCAUGGGUAGCGAAGAGGAUUAGAUACCCUCGUAGUCCAUGCCGUAAACGAUGUGUGUUAGACGUUGGAAAUUUAUUUUCAGUGUCGCAGGGAAACCGAUAAACACACCGCCUGGGGAGUACGACCGCAAG